rnacentral:lncRNA from 1 species
ACUUCGCAGUGCCUCUAGAAGCUUCCUUCUUCGAAUACAAUUGCGACGGUGACACCGUCAAUUACCUCGUCGAAAGUGGCUUCAGUGAGUCUCCCUUCUCAAUCGGAACACGUUCUCUUUAUGCUUGGAUUCGCGUAAAUAUGAGUUUUAGAUUUCGCUCUCUUGAAGGCGUACUUUCGAUCUAUUUGGUAGACGUAUAUGUAUAUUUGUGUUCGUGUUGCAAUCGAUUUCAAUGGAUCUAUCUGCUCAUUUUCUAUCGGUCCCAGUGAUAUUCAUGUGUAUAUUUAUGACUUCGUUUUGCUUCUGUUAAGGUUUCCAUUGAUGGAUUAGAAUUUUCUCUCUUGGUGUUCUGAUUCCAUUCGGCUUAUGUAUUGGCUUGUUUGUGAGAACUGAGAAGGCAUUGCAAUUGAGACUUUGGUUAAAUGGAAGUGAAAAUUUCCUUUAAUACAACCAAACUAAAAUUUAAAACAAAAAAACAAUACAUGUACUUUUAGCAUGAAUUGUUUUGCAUGUGGUUAUGCCUUUAGCUUGCUUUGCCUCUUGUAUUUGAAGUUAGGUGAUAUAUGAGGAAUAACUCUACAGUUUUGUUUUCGUAUUUGUAAAGACAUUUAGUGUCUUUUCUUAUAAUUCUCUCAUAUUUGUUCAUGGAUCUGAGUCUGACAAUAGAUUCUCUCUUUUUUGUGCAGCCUGUUGCGUUGUUUCAGCAGAUUUCAAUGGCCUUCUUGGAGCGAGUUAAAGAAGACUUCAACAAGAGAUAUAGUGGUGGAAAGGAAAGAUGACCACUACUUAACUCAACAGCUUGAACAAAGAAUUUGGGUACUUUUGGCUCUACCAUCAGAAUACGGAAAACCAAAAAAUUAACUGAUUUAAGUGUCUGUGAAUAUGGUUUUUAACUGAUUUAGUAUCAAGUGAACGAAGUGAAAUGUGUUAUGACGGAGAACAUUGAGAAGGUCUGAAUCAUAUCCAUGUCAAUCUCACAAUUUUAUAUCAUUAAUUUGAGAAUAUAUGUCAUAAAUGACUUGAAUUCUCUCUGCUUCUUACCCACUUCUGCGAAACUGCAUGUGCUUUAUGUAAUUCAUUAACUUGCAGGCUCUUGACCGUGGUGAGAAAAUUGAGCUUCUAGUGGACAAAAUCCGAGAACCUUUGUUCACAGGUUAGUAACUUACCUUUCACUCAUAUGUUAGCUUUUUGAUACAAACAUAUCUCCUUUCUAAUUGUCACUCUCUUAUAUUUUGAAUUCUGAUAUCUACAGGCACAAGAUUUCAGAGCGCCAGGAACGAAAAUGACAAGAAAGAUGUGGUUUCAGAACAUGAAGAUUAAGCUCAUAGUCCUUGGUAUCAUCAUCGCAUUAAUUCUCAUCAUCCUCCUCUCGGUUUGUCGUGGCUUCAACUGUGCUUAAAACUUGAAAGCAGGAGAAUACGUUUAGGGGAACUCUGCCGGUAUAUGUCCUUCUUUUUUCGUUCUGUUUUCGUGGUCUCUUUUUUUAUAUAUUUUCAUUUGAUUUUGUUAGGGAUAAAGAAAUAUGGUGAAUUAGUACUGAAAUAUGAUCGUAGACAAAGUAACUUUGCCUUACACUCAGGCUGUCUAAUGUAACCAAUGGUAAGUAUGUCUACCUUGGACCAGAGUAGUUAUAAUAAAAAGUACGCAGCUCGGUGUCUUGAAGAAAUGGAAGGAUUUGUUGGUUGAUUGUUGCAUUCUCAGGUUAUAUGGGACAAAGAUUGUUGUAAUAAUCCAUUCUGGCGAGUCUUAUAAAAUCAUUGCAAAAUAGUUCAGCUCAAGGAUAUGGAACUUGGCAAAGGAUAUACUUAGCUAUGGGAAAUCGCCGCUGCAGUUGACUUUAAAAUCCGGGUGACCGCACUCUUCUCUUUGAAGCGACCAAAAGGGAUAAUAGAGAUAUCUCCUCAUACAGCAUUUAAACCAAGAGGUGCAGUGUUUGUGACACUUAUCAACUGACAAAAAACAAGAGGGGAUCACAAAGAGCAUCCCUAUGAUUGUCAGAGACAGAGAAAAAUUAAUCAUGGUACUCUCCUGUGUUUUUUUUUUUUUAACAAGAGAAUGGGGACGAAGAGGUAAAAGAUAGAUGAGAAUUAGGUGAAUGGUUUUUGUUCCAAGUCUUGGUUUUGUAUGAGUUGAAAGAAGGAAAAGAAAAUUAAGGUUUCUUUUUAUAUAUUGUUUAUCUGAAACUUUAUUUCCGAAGGGAAAUCUCUUUGGAAUUAGGAGGUCUAAGUCUUCGAAUAGACGGUAGACAUUCAAGGUAUUAUAUUAUGUUAAAGUUUUCUUUCUAUUUGGUUGUUAUAAUUGCUUUUUUUUUUGUCUGUAGGACGACCUAAAACAAGUGUCGAUGCAAUAACUUUACUUGGAAAAGUCUGGCAAAGUAGAAAAAGGGAUGAAAUAGACUAAUGAAGAAAAUCUCCAAAGAAAGAAAAAUCGACGAAUGAAAAAAAAAAAUCAUAAAGAAAGAAGAAAGACAUGACCGUAAUUGGCCCUUCCUUUGCUCCCCACUUUCUUUGUUAGCUUCAGACAAAUGUGAAUGCAUCAAAAGGUAUGUGCAAAGAAUAAAAAGUGGAACAAGGCAAUGACUUUUUAGUUUUAGUAUUUACCAUGGAAACUGAAGGAUGUUGAUGAUGAUGACAGGUUUAGUGGUAAGGAAGACUUCCAUACCCAGAAAAUGACUUGAUGGAAAUUGUGUGUGCCAAGUUGUUGGAGACAGAUCAAGACUUUUUAGACCUCUCACUAGGAGUAAGGUAUGUCUUAACACUGCUAAAGCCAACAAAGAAAGGUUGAAAAGAAAAGAAAAUUGUGACUUGGUUGGUGAGAUAGUUAUUGGUGAGAUAGUUAUGGUGUAUAGGUUGGGACAGUUGUGGAACGUAGGGGAUUAUAGUUUUGGUAUGUGUCAUAGUGGAACUGAGAGGCUGAAGAUCAACAAGUCUUGUUGAGACUUAAGCAAUUAGUUAUAUUCUGUUUCAGUGUUAGAUGAGUUGUCUAUUUAGUAUAUGAAUAUGCUUCAAUACAAUACCAACAAAACAGAACAAAAACAUCAGAUAAAGAUACAACAAACGUAAGGAAAUGCUUCAAUACAAUACCAACAACAACUUGACAAACAUUGCAGCUUAGCCACUAGACAAGCUAAACGGUUUCUGCCCUUAACUAGACAAGCUAGCCACUCCGGUUUGUAUGAAGCAAUGAGUUUUGCUAUUGCCAAUCCAAGUAACACUCCAAGCCCAUACCCUAUUGCCACGCCUUUCCAGUUUAACACUUGCUCAUCUUCUUCCUCUUCUUCUUCUUCUUUAGUCUGCUGUGCUGGUGGCGCGUUAGUCCCAAAACAACUUUCUUCAAGAGGAAAACCACAAAGCCCUGCAUUUCCUUCAAAGGACGAUCUAUUUUGCCCAGUUAUCUGUGUUCCUUGUGGUAUUUCACCAUUGAGUUGGUUGUGAGACACGUUUAUAUACGCCAAGAAUGAGAGAGUCCCUAAUCCAUUAGGAAUAGUCCCUGAGAGGUGAUUACUUGAUAGGUCUAGUGACUCGAGCUUCACAAGAUUGGCCAAAGAUAGAGGAAUAUGGCCUGUGAAGGCGUUCUUCGAUAAGUUGAGUGCGAUCAGUGCCUUUAGGAGACCAAUAGAUUCAGGAAUUUCUCCUUCAAGUCUAUUUCCAGAAAAAUCAAUGGUGGCUGAGGAAGUAACGACCCUCUUUUGCUCCAUAGAUAGACCUUUAUAUUGUAAAUCUAUAGCUUCGAGAUAGGUAAGGUAAUAGAUUCCGUAAACAGCCGUCUCAUAUACCAUAUAUAGACCGAGAUCUUCAUUCAUCGUGAGUGAUGAUGCUUUCCAAUUCACAAAAAAGUUUGGGGGCAAGCUUCCGGUUAAACUGUUACCAGCUAUCUCAAGUAUCCGCAGCUCAGGAAAUCCCAGAGGACCUUGAUUGGGAGGAGAUAGAGGACCAUAGAAUUUGUUUGAACGGAGGAUAAGGACUUGCAGUUUCGGUAAAGCUUUAAGGGAGAAAGGAAAUGUAUCUUUGAUUUCGUUGUGGUCCACACUUAGAAAUUGUAGAGCUGAGCAAUUUAGAAGAGACCUUGGAAGCUUUCCUGUUAAUCGAUUGUAGCCAACGUCGAGUGACCGUAGAGGUGCAUCGGCAUAAUACUUGUCUGGAAUACUUCCUCCCAAGUUGUUCUUCCGGAGAUCCAAAAUCAAGAAGUUACUUAGACAUGGAGGUAUUUGACCGGUGAAGUUGUUGUAGCUUAGAUCAAGAACAUCAAGCGAGCUUCUGUUGCAUAUUGAAAGAGGUAUGCCGCCACUGAAACUAUUGUUUUUUGCAGAGAAGUAGCUGAUAGAGAGUGGCAGAUGCGGAAGUGCUCCUUCUAAACUAUUUGAAUCCAAAAGUAAGAUCUGCACCGAUGAAUUUACAAAAGUUUCUGAUGAACCUUCGAAGCCAGUUAACAAAUUAUUUGUAAUGAGAACUGAGCUCAGACGUGGAAGGCUCCAUAACCACCCUGGAAUUUUCCCACUGAUUCUAUUGUUGGAUACCGAAAUAUACUUCAAAUUUUGAAGGGUCUUUAAGAUGUUUGGGAAAUCACUAAUGUUGCAGUACUCCAAACGCAACGCUUCCAAGGUCGAUGGGAUGUAUGAAUCUGAACUUAAACUAGCCUGAGAUAUCCAGUCACCUGAUAGAUCGAGGAGCAACAAAGAUUUGAGAGAGGAGAAGAGACUUAAGUCAAUUGGGUAGCUUGUGUUUAGGAAAGAAAGGUCGAGCUCUUUAAGGUUAAUGAGCUUUGAGAUAGGCUCUAGGAUUUUUCCUUCAAAAUGGUUUUUGCCUAGGUACAAACUCUCUAGCCUUGAUGACGAAAAGGAGUUAGAAGCUUCAAUUGAACCGUUGAGAUUGUUUCCACCUAAUGAAAGAUAUGAUAAGAAAGGCAUAGUGAAGAGAGAAGAAGGGAUGGUUCCAGAGAAGUGAUUAUAAGAAAGUUCCAGCCAAGAGAGCUUGGUUAGAUUUUGUACAAGUGGGAGACAACCAGUGAGGUCGUUCGUGGAAAGGUACAACUCGGUUAAUUGGGUUAGGUUACUAAUUGUGGGGGGAACUUGACCGAAGAAGCUAUUAGAGGUAACAUCCAAUACCUCUAGUUUGUGUAGAUUGCCAAAUUCAUAAGGGAGUGAAGAGGAGGUGAAGUUGUUGAAACCGAUAUUAAGGUAAGAGAGGUGGUGCAAGUCAAACAGACUACUGUUGGGAUUUACAGUUUCAGAGAAGUGAUUAUGAGAAACAUCUAAAGCUGUGAGCUUGCGUAGAUUCCGCACAAAUGAGAAACUACCAGUGAGCUCGUUAUCGGAAAGGGCUAAAAAGGAAAGCAUGCUUAAGUUACUAAAUGAAGAAGGAACUUGGCCGAGGAAGCCAUUAGAGUAAAGAGAUAAAACCUCUAAUUUGUUGAGAUUUCCAAACUCGGAAGGGAGUGAAGAGGAGAUGAAAUUGUUUUGAGGGAGAGAAAGGUAACGAAGCUGAUGAAACUGGAAGAGGCUGCUGUUGGGUUUCAGAGUUCCACUGAGACAGGCCCCGAGUCGUAGCUUCGUGACCGCGCCCGUGGAGUUAUCGCACCACACUCCAUUCCUAGGGUCACUAUGGUUGCAAGCACGAGUAUCAAACUCGUUCUUGAACUGCGUAAAGGCUUGAAUCUGAUGGGGACCACAAGCAACAAGACCAACAACAGGGUUAUUAAAAGUGAAGAAGCUUGAAGGGGAGACACAAGAGAGUAAGAGUAGCGAGAGAAAAUUCAAACGCAAAAGCGGUUCAGACAUGAUGAAAACUUUUUAAGAAAGAAUGGAUUUUGAUAUAAGAAAUGUGAGAGAGAGGAGAUUGGUAUAAAUAAUGAUAGGAUGUAGUUUUGCAUAGUGGAAAAAGUUAGAGCUAAGUGAAGUUUUCAUUGAAGUGAAAUCAACGUUAGAUGACUUUUCUAAUGUAUAAUUUGGACUGCAAUCACAUCACUUUGAAAUUUAUUACAUAUACAUUAUUUUCAAAACCACAUGAAUAAUUGACCACUACAUGUGUUACACACCAAGCUGAUGUUGGUGAGUCAAGAUCCUACCACAAAUGUCCAACUGAUAUUGACCCCUACAUGUGUUACACACCAAGCUAACUGAAUAGGAAGCUUCCUUGGUUUAGAUCUUUUGUGACGUGAGGAAAGGAGAGAGGUUACGAGAGUUUUGAUUUGGUGUUUCGAGACACUGGAGCUUUAGUGGUGUUAUUGAAUUGGGCUUAGUAGGUUUUAGGGGCCGAUUAGUAUAGCUUUUUUUUUUUUGUUUAAGAGCACAAAUAAAGUAAGGAUUCAAAAUGGGUUGGAGUAAAAAUUAUAUAUUAAGAUAUAAAGUAAAUAUAUAUUAGAUUACAUUAGGACUACCUAUAUUAGGGUUUAUAGUAAUAUUUUAUAACUGUUGAAAGAGGUAAAAAAAAUCGAAAAUAUGGAAAAAAAAAUUAAACCACCCACAAAAAAAAAGAUUAAGAUUAAAAACGAUGACGAGAGAGCAUCAAGAGAAACGCUUAACAGGUUCAUUUUAUUUUUGUCUUCUAUUAUGUUAUUAUUUGAUUUUCAAUUGAUUGUUUUUCACAUGUUAUUUAGUUUUUCCUAUUCCUAUGUGGAUUAAGUUUACUCUAUGACCUAUGUUAUUUUGUUGCUCAUAUUUUUUUUUUCUUUUUGACAUCAUUUGGUUGACAAAAUCGAACGCAUACUUCAAUUUUUACUACGCGGGGUAACACUACUUGUUGGAGUCAAACUCUGGUGGGGAAAACUGCUGAAGUAGACGGUUAACCACUUAACUAAAUACGCUUCCCCACAUAUGUAUCUAUUUUUCUGUAGACUAACUGAUACAUAUCCCGAUCAUGUUAAUUACAAUGUUAGAGGCAUCAAACUUUAUCCUAUUAUUAUAGAACACAAGUCAAUUUCCUCAAAAUUGUACCUUUCCCCUUAUGACACAUGUUUUAAAACUCAAGUCUUUCUAUUUUACUCUCUUAAACCGAUUUACCUAUUAUUAUUAUUAUUAUUUUUUUUAUAAUCAUCCGACUUCUUAAUUACUCUUUCCCACAAUCUCUAGAUUCUCCUCUCCCCUUCCAUCGCAUCAAUAAUUCGAUGAUUUUGUUCGCCUUCUCUUUCCAAGAUUUCACCUCUUUUAUACAACUACAGAACUACUAGGGUAGUUACUGAGGUCUGCCCUAGUAAAAUACAUGAGUAGUCACAUGUUCUUUAUCAUUUUCUAUUUUAUUUUUUUCUGAUACUGGUGAUUAAAUGGUACUAGGUCCGGACCCGCACGUACGUGCGGGGUUUUAUAUUUUGAAAGAUGCGGGUUGAAUAUUUGUUGUAUAACGUAUAGUGAAAACGGGUCUAACAUUUAGUGUUGGAAAACGUAUGUAUGGGGUUUUUUGUUUGAUUGGUUAAAAAGAUUGGAAAGAAUAAUUAGUAAGAAUUUAGUAAUUUUGAUUGGUGAAUGAUUGGAUAUCUUGGUUUGGUUUUGUUGAAUUAUUGAGAAAGUUGCAAAAUUGGUUGUAAUAUUUGUGAAACGAAAUUAUUAUUCUGAGUUAUAUUGUAUAUUUUUAUUUCUUAAACUAUAAAAUGAUUUGUUUGGUGAAAUAAAAUUAUUGUUUGUAAUUUGAUGCAUAUUUCAUAAAUAUAAAUGAUUAUAAUUCAGAUAAAGGCCCGUUAAUGAUUCCCCUUUUAAUUAGGAUUGGGCUGGAUUUUUGAUAGACCCAUUUAGAGAUCCAUGGUUUCGUUUUUGUUUUUUAAUACAGAAUCAAAUGUUUUUUUUUUCUUUUGGACAGAAGUGAUUAUAUCACGAUUCUUUGUCUUAUGGUCUUCAAAGAAUGAAUCCCUAAAAAUCAUAAGCUUUUCCGAUUUCUCAAUCAAUGUCAAAAGUUUCGAUCAUCAAUCGAGUCUCCGUACAUCUAAUUUCCAUAUCAGAUUCGGAAAUUCUUCAAAGAGGUAAGGUUUUUAGAGAUUCUUCUUCAAUCAAUCUAUUUUUAUAAUCUGUUGAUUCAUUUACAAUCUUUGUAAUUCUGUGUUUCAACAGAGAUCUUGGGCUAUCACUGUGGGUAUACGAACUUGCAUGAGUAAGUAUUUUCAAUUAUAUUUGUUGUUUAGAUCCGUAAUUGCAUGUCUAUAAUUUUUGUGUUUAUUCGGGUAACUCUAUCUAUUAUCAAAAUCUUCUAUGCGUUGGAGUGAAAAGAGGCUAUAAUUUGAUUUUGUAUAGAUUUAGGCAAUAGAUUUUGUUUCCUAAUAUUUAAUUUGUUCCUAAAUUGAUUUUAGAUAAUGAUUGGAUGAUGAUUUUGUCUGAGGAAGACGAUUUACAAAGUUAAGCUUUCUAUUACAGCUCUUACAUAACAAAACAAUGUCUUAAUAUAUAUGGUUCUGAUUUUACCAAAUACAAUGUUUACAGAGAAGGCAAAAUAUUCGAGUUGAUUUCAAUCGGAGAAGACAAAUUUGAUGUCCUUUAGUAGCCAUAACGGAAUCUGGAAGCUAUUUUAAAGGUUAGAUUAUGUAAUCUCUUUCUGAAAUUGUAGAGUUGUUAUAUAAAACAUAUAGUUGUCAAUCUAUACUUUUAAAUAUUGAUAUUGCGUAGCUUAACAUUUAUGAGUACAAUAUAGUUUUUAGAAAACUUACUUAAAUUUAGGGAAUAUACUAAUAAAACUUUUUAUGGAAAACAGAGUAAAAUAGAGAUUAAAUACAAAAGAAACAAAUAGGGUAGGUUUAAGUCGAUUACAAAAGGAGUUUUCCAUACCUCCAAGGAAGUUUUUAAAAAGACAGAGUUCAUCUCCUCUAAAAAUGUAAAAAGAAACAACAUAAACUAAGAGAAACUGAAGUAACCUUGCAAAUCCAAUCCCUCCUUCCUUCACAUGUUAGUUCUCAGCAACCAUCUCCAUCAUCACAUCCUCUUCGUCACUUGAUCCAUCGUCGAAUGAUCGCUUGCAAAAAAACAUAUGCUUUAUGUUUACCUAGGCUAUGAAUCUCAACCAAAAUAUAUGCCAAUUAUAAGAGAAUGUUUAACUUACAGAUAACUUGGAAUGUCAAGUUCAUAAAAGAUUGGAUCAAUGUAUAGACGUGAACAGCCAUAUUCACUCAUUAAAACAUUGUUUCCUAUAGAAAAAAAAAAAGAUUCAGUCAAUGUAACUAAUAAAAUUGUAAAGUCAGUUCAUAAAACUAUAAUAAGAACCAACCACAGUAAGAAGUUAUUCUCCAGAAACGCAAGACUGCAACAAUCUUAUCAUAGUUGUAGUUUAUUCCGCUUAUCUUCUGAGACCAAGUGUUCACAAAGAACUCACACCACUUUCCCACAGCUACGCAUUUUAUUGUCUCCCCCCUAGAUUAAAAGUUUAAUUUCCAAACAAAAAGAACAGUCAAUCCAAUUUCUUAAAGUAAUUUAAGAACAGACAUUGAAAUUCUGUCACAGAGGGUAAACUAAACUUACACAUUAUUUUUAAUUUUGAAGCAGACAUAGCGAGAUUCAUAGUCUGUUUCCCCUCUGCGACACACAUAUGGAAACCUUCCUAUGGUGGAAACAGCAGAAAUAACUCCCAUAGCAUCUAAGUAAAUAUUACAGGAAAAUGGUCAUAUAAGUCUUCAUAUAUAAUAAAUCUUGGUAUAAAACAUUUAAUUUCAGAAAUUAUUACCAGAGACAGAGUUUUUAUCAUCUUCAUGAGCAUUUCUGACAGUAUCAGGCCAAACAAAGUUCCAGUAAUUGUUCCAGGACUUAGAUCUAACAGGCCACAUGGUAGUUCCACUCAUAAACUUAACCUGAAGUGGCAUAGUUGAAUAUCUGACUUGGUUUGGAGGUUUGAUGACUUGAAAGUCAGUCAUGUAGUACCAAACGUCUUGUUUGAGUCCUCGCUGAAAGUUCCAGAGGUAGUAACCUUGUGGAAUUGUUGCGUCCAUAAAAUUCCCCUAUACAAAGGAAACAAACAAAUUAGAUAAGUAGUUUUUCAACCCUAGAACAUGAUUUUAAAAAGGUGUAAAACUAAACAAUAGAAUUAGAAACAAACCUUCUCAUCUGCGAGAAUCAUUGUAGUUAGAUCACCAUUUAGAGGAUUAUGAUGCCAGAUACUCAUUAUCUUAACAUAAACCCUCCACUUUGUGGAAUGUCUUCGCAAAUCAGAGAGAAGGUGCAUUUUCUCCAUAGUUUCUUAAAGAUUUUGUUUUGCUUUCAACUGGGAAGAUAUCUCUGUAAAUCUAAAAUCUCUCAACGCAUAUAUAUAGAUAUAGAUAUAUUGGUUAAGAGACGCAAAGGAUUAAAAUAAAAAGAAAAGGAAACUGAAUCGUUAAUAGAAUAUAUAAAAUAUAAAAAUUUGAAAAGACUGAUGCGAAUCAUUGCUAAUUAUUACAAAAGGAUACAGUUUACAUUUUUCAAGAUACACCCAACGAUUUAGAUUUGCCUAGAUUGUAUAAACCGUCAAAUAUGGAAGUUUCUUUAGUUUUUGUUAUUCAUGAUAGAUUUUUUAUAUAAUAGAUUAUAUAUAAGUAAAAUAUAUAAGUAAAUAUGUACUUAAAUAAUAGUAUCGAUUUUUUGUAACAGGAUCUAGUUUUUGCUAUUUGUUAGUUACAAUUAUAAUGGUACUGAUGCUAGAUAAUUCUAUGUUUACAGACCAGGCAACAUCUUUAAAGAAGGCAAAUUUGAAAGCAAUGAUAAAGCCAGUCCAGAUUCUGAAAGCACUGAUAAAGGUUAGUGAGGUCUAAAUGAUUCAAGAAGUAUUUAGAUCCACAAUUAAAUAUGAAGUUGUCGUGAUGUGUUAAUUGUUUUUCAAAAAUGAUUUUACUAUAUUCACUGUUGACAUGUAUGUUAAAUUCUGCAAUUGGUUGAUAAGAUAUUAAAGUAAUACUACUUGUUUAUAUGAAUUAACAGAAUAUUUAGAUUCUGUAUAUGUUUUUUGAAUUAGUAAACUUUUAAUAGUUUACCUUUUUGUACUUAAUAUGAUUUAAAUGUAAAUGAAAAAUUAUUUAAAACAAAUUUAUGCUGAUAUUAAUAAUCAAAAUUUCUGAAUCUAUAUUAUUAAAAGAGAAUUGAGAGAAUAACAGACCAAGUUUGGUAAAAUAAUCUCUUCAAUGGAAGUCGUAGAUUGAAGAGAUUACUACCAAAUUUCCAUUUCCAUACCAGCUUCUACCUGUUCAGACAACCAAUAAGAAAUUAGUAAAGUGUAACAGGUGAAAAUAAUAAUCAGUUUUUAUUGAUUUUUACCUCUUAAACCAAAUGUCUUUUGCAAUGUGGAACCUUAUAGGUUCUGAAAGACUUCCUUAAACACCACAUUCAACGUUUCCUUCUGCGGCUUUCCUUCUUUGUCCACUAUGAGUAUCUUCAGUCCUUUUUUUGAAGUUACCCUUGAGAUAGCUACAUAGAGUUGGCCAUGAGAAAAGCAUGGCCUUGGUAGAUAGAUGCCAACCUUAUUAACGAUUGUCCCUGGCUUUUAUUAAUGGUCAUAGCAAAAGCAACUGCUAUUGGAAGUUGUCUUCGACGCAUUUUAAACGGAAGUUUAGUAUCAGAUGGAGAUAUCAAUAUCCUGGGAAGGAGGACUUUAUCUCCGACUCUAUCACCUGUAAUAAUGACAGCCUCAAUGACUUUAUCACCCAUUUGUGUUAUUUGCAGUCUAGUGCCAUUCAUUAGCCCUCCUCUUGGAUCUAAAUUUCGUAGUAACAUCACAGGACAACCAACUUUCAACCUUAUACCAUGAUUUGGCAAUCCAGAUAUCUUUAGACCGUUCAAAAACUCUGAUGUCAACACGGGAUUAUUUGUACCUCCAAUAUCAGAAGGAUCAACAGAAUCUGAACUUAGGUAUAGUUGUUCNNNNNNNNNNNNNNNNNNNNNNNNNNNNNNNNNNNNNNNNNNNNNNNNNNNNNNNNNNNNNNNNNNNNNNNNNNNNNNNNNNNNNNNNNNNNNNNNNNNNNNNNNNNNNNNNNNNNNNNNNNNNNNNNNNNNNNNNNNNNNNNNNNNNNNNNNNNNNNNNNNNNNNNNNNNNNNNNNNNNNNNNNNNNNNNNNNNNNNNNNNNNNNNNNNNNNNNNNNNNNNNNNNNNNNNNNNNNNNNNNNNNNNNNNNNNNNNNNNNNNNNNNNNNNNNNNNNNNNNNNNNNNNNNNNNNNNNNNNNNNNNNNNNNNNNNNNNNNNNNNNNNNNNNNNNNNNNNNNNNNNNNNNNNNNNNNNNNNNNNNNNNNNNNNNNNNNNNNNNNNNNNNNNNNNNNNNNNNNNNNNNNNNNNNNNNNNNNNNNNNNNNNNNNNNNNNNNNNNNNNNNNNNNNNNNNNNNNNNNNNNNNNNNNNNNNNNNNNNNNNNNGUCUGAAAUCUCCACCAAAAACAACUACUUUGCCACUAAACGGUUUGUUUCCACCACCUUUAAUAAUGUCUUUGAAACUCCUAUCCAUAGAUUCAAAACAAUGCUUACGCAUCAUUGGAGCUUCAUCCCAAAUUAUCAAAGACGCUUCUUCUAUUAAUUCUGCCUGAUUUGAACCUUUCUCAAUAUUACAUACAGUGAAGUCGUCUGGAUUUAUUGGAAUACCAAACCGAGAGUGCGCUGUUCUCCCACCAGGUAACAAUAGAGAAGCAAUGCCGCUGGAAGCCACAUUUAGCACAAUAGAACCUCUAGAUCUUACAGAAGCUGAGAGUGUCGUAUAUAUAAAAGUUUUACCAGUUCCACCAAAGCCAUAGACAAAGAAGACACCUCCCUUGUCAUUAUCAACAGCAUCGAUGAUCUCUAAAUAAACACUCUUCUGCUCAUCUGUCAUUUUCUGCAACGAUUCUUCAAGUUUUUCCUUCUGUUCAUUGCGAUCGUAGCUUUUUUCAUCAAGUAUCAAGACAUUACUAUCAUCAAUUUCCUCAUCAGGUAACUGUGGCAUUGUUCUGAAAGCUGUUAGAGAUGUUCCAUUGCUUCGUAAGAUGCUGUUGAUUUCUUUUAAAGCCAACAUCUGUUUUUGCUCGUCCGUAAGUGUUAGUUCUGUGUCCCAAAAAUAUGUAAAAAAACAGUGUUAUUUGUAAGACAGAAUAAUCAUGACAAAAACUACUUAAAAUUGCAAAGUAACAACUCUUUAAACCAACCAAAGAGACUAAAUUAUUUGAUCAAAAAUUACCUGGUCUUUUAAAGUACUCUCUCCUUUUUCUUUCGAUGUCUUCUGAUAGAAGUUCCCAUGUUUUUUCCCAAACAACUUCUGGUUGAGAUAAGCUGGUAGACUGGAGCAUUACAACAAACAUACAACGCAAGUAGUUUCCAGUAGCCCAAAAACUGGUUGUCUUUAUUGUAUCAAUAUACUCAUGGUCAUCGUCAAGCAAACCCAGAGCAUAACAUGCCUCCUUGAACGAUUUGUACACCACGCCAUUCACUGUUUUGAUGUCUUCGAAACUUUCAGGUCCAGUUUGAUGAUUUAGAAGCACUCUUAAAUAAUAACCUUCCUCAUAAAUAAGUGGGACAUAAUUAAUCCUUCCGAUUGUUUUCCCUGGUCGCUUCCUCAUAUUGAAAGUUCUUGUUUUACCAUCCCAAGUAUAAUAUUCCGGAAUCUGAGUAUAUGUGAGAUCUUUGGCUUUAGGACACCGCUUGUUCAAUUCAAACCAAGCAAGAAACAUCGAAUUCUGUAAUUCUGAUUUUUUCAAAACUGUUUUCACCUCAUCAUCACCUUUAAAAUAUAAUAGUUGUUUGCCUGGUAGAUGGAAGGAUAAUCUUUGAACAGACGUUGACCUAUAAUGUAUAGGAUUUUUCAAGAUUCUCCAUCCAGCUUCACAUGCUGAUACAUAUCUGAUACAAUAUCAUAAAACAUGUAUUAGUUAGAAAUGAGUUAAGCAUCUAAACUAUUUACCUAAAUCCAAGUAGAUUUUAUACUUGCAAUUAAAGAAGUCUUGUAUUUCAUUUUUACUUGUGCCCCCACUGUUUGAACUAUCAGACUUCUCUGUAGUAGUUGUAGUCUUUGUAGACUUUUCAUUAGGCUCAACAACUACUGAAACUCUGUCCAUCCCUUUAGUGAUAUACUUGAAUAAGUACUUGAUAGAGCCAGUUUGGUUACACCACUCAACAUUAAUAUGAGCUCUGUAGCGAAGCAGCAACUUCUUGUUAUAGGGUAUAACAUAUCCGUUGUCACACUUAAAUCCACACUUCUCCACAAACAGCUUUGUCUUUCUUCUUCUGUACAAAGGGAAACCUUCUUUAUCAACUUUAGUAUGUUCUCUAAGUUUUUUUGGGAAAAACUUAGAACAUUUCCCUUCAAGCAUACAUGGUGAAUUCUGGUUGACGACGCCACAUGGUCCAUGAAUCAUCAUGUCUUUUACGACCUCAUAAAGUUCUGGUUCUUUAUUCUUGUCAGGAAUUUCCGCAGAAAUGAUUUUAUCAAUGUCUUCUGGUUUUGGAAACUUAGAACUUGGAUGCAUCCAUAUCAAUAUAUGUGCAUGAGGAAGACCUCUUUUCUGGAACUCAAUUGUAUACAUUGCUGCGAGAACAACAUGAGAUAAUAAUAUUAGUUAAACGACAUUUAGAAAAAUAGCAGAAACAGAUAAUUAAAUUAUAGACUGUUAACGCAACUAUUAAAAUAAAUCACUUACAUGAAACAGUCUUCCCCAAUAUAUGUUUCUUCGUCAAAUCAUCCAUUAGAGAAUUCAGCUUCAUUUUGAACAUUCUGCUUAUGAUCUCUGGCCUAUCAUCGGAAUUACAAUUUCUCUCAGUACAAAAUCUUACCAGCUCAGGCCAUUUUGGAUUGCAUGUGAACGUAAUGAAUAGGUCAGGAAAUCCAUAAUGAUUACAUGUAGACAUUGCAUCCAUGUACAUGUUCUUCAUGUAUCUUGGCCCACCAACAAAAGUAGCUGGUAGAUAAAAUGCUUUUCCUUCUUCAUUCAUAUCUGUCUUUCCUGCUGUUGCCGCCUCUUUAACUGAAUCAUAGUUAGUAGCUCGUAAACUUGACUGAUUCAGUUUAAUAUAUUUGAGCCUAUUAGCUUCAAUGGUGGUAUAAGCAUCAACCAAGAACUGCUGGUACAACCGUUUUGACCUUAGCAGGAUACUUUGUUCAUUCUUUCUCUCUUGUAUACGAUACGCAUACCAUUGACGCAAACUUAUGCAAUCAUUCUCCUCAGUUCCUUCGGGCUUGUUUUUCUUUUUACCAUGGUUAUUCCCUUUCUGAAUACCUGUCCUAUAACCAUCUUCACCCUUUGGAAACAACAAAGGGUAUUGUAGAGCAAGAUAACAUGGUUCUAUUUCACUGAUUCUUUGUAAAUACCCAGAUUUUUCUUCAAUAAUAAUGUCACGACUUGGCAUACCAAUGUGAAAAUCACCUGGAAUCAGCGCUGCGACCUCCGAAGCUGUUGGCACUGCAUAUGUUCUUCCAUCUUUGACACGGUCACUCACUAUUUUCAUAUGAAAGCUCUGUUCAGGAUUGGUAUUAAACCUAUCACGAGCUUGUCUAAAAUGAGCAACGUAUGGAUUAACUUCAUUUAGCAGCUUUAUUAUCGCCUCAAUUAUUUCUUUUCUCAACUCUGACUUUUUCUUAUAUUUCCCAGCAGAUUUUUCUUUGCUGAAAUAUUAAUUUAGUUAGCAACGACACUAAUACUUACAGAAAAAAACACAAAGUCUGGAUACUGUGAUGGCUUGUUUUGAGUUAGAAAAUGUACCUUAAAAUUCCUGCUCUGUUUUCAACUUCAUUCUCUGUGUCAACUAUAUAUAGCUGACUAAACUUAGGAAAUUCACCUUCUCCAGGUUUCAAACUUCCCAUCUGGUGGUAAUUCUCUCCUUGUAUCUGAAACAUAUUAGGACCCCUUCCCGCUGUAACAGAAUUAUCACACUUACCCCCAAGAGAAGUAAAUGAAAAAAUCAUGUUAUAUGCUCGGAUGUUCUCUCUAAAGUGUCUACUCAUGUCAUCAUCAUUGGUUAGCAAAGCAAAUAACAGUUCUGGUUGAUUAUGGAGGAAAGGCAGUUUCACAGAUCCUUGCAGACAACAUUGAGUAAAAAUUGGUUUACGAACUUUCUUAUGUCUGUUGAUGCGUUCGCCAUACCACAUAAUAGCACCGCAGUAGGAACAUGAGUAGACAGGAUCUCCAUGAUCUAGAUACUCUACAAUAACGGGAAUAAGUUUAGCAUAAGUAAAGUUUGUGUAAGAAAAGAAUUAGAAAUAAACCAAUGAUGUAGUACCUGUGUUUUUGUUCUUUCUGCUAGAAACAUUAGGAGUUUUUAUUUCUCCAAAAGCUUUGGUCAAACUUUCAUCUAACAUUGAUAAAAACUCAUAUCUUUGUUUGACUUCGAUUGGGAUAUCGUCUAUGGUUUCAUAAUCUUCAGAUGUUUCUGAAUCAUUUUCAUCUGGACUACUACACUCGUAAACCUGUUCACGUGUUUCCUCCAAAUCACUUAUCAUAGUUUUUUCCCCUGAUUAGUGGAUGCUUUAUUAAGUUUAGAAAAUAUAUCAUAAUGAUUUUUACUUACUCAUAUUAAUAUAUGUUUCUUCCUUUGAAUUCAGGAUCUCAUCAGAGUCUUCUUCGAUUGUUGUAUCAUAACUCUUGUGAGAUGUUUUCUUCUCCUUUGCCAAAGACUUUGGGAACCUCAGAUUGAUUCUUGAAUUGGUAAGUAUAAUACCCUUAGCAGCUUCAUGAAAUAAACAUUACUCCAUCAGUGUUGAUCUAUUAAUACUUUUUAUGUAAUAGUUUCAUAUUAUUGAGAGGCAUGUAUACCUUGUUUGCUAUUAACAGAUGGUGGACUCCACUUUUUCCCCUUUUUUUCUGGUGGCUUAUGUGGAUUAAGUGGAGUUUGGUGAACCUCGCUGUGAAGCUGUGAUGUAUUAAUAAUGUUCUGCACAUCUUGAAAAGGUCUUCUCUGUGUCCUUGCUGUUUUUUUGCCUGAUCUUACACUCGUAUUAUAAGUAACUGUAGAUGCAAAUCCUAUACAUUAUGAUUAUUUAUUAGUUAGCAUCAUAUGUAGAUGCUAUAUUGUUGGAAUAUAAAUGUUUACAUACCUUGUGUUUCCUUUUGUAUGGCUGCAGAAGAAGAAGGACCAGUUACUGUCUGUAAGGCUUCAGAAUCACACUGCUGGGCUGGUAUGUUACCUAUUCCAGAUCUCAAUCGAUUAAAAAUCCCUUUUACUUGAACAUCACUCCUAUCUUGUUGGUUCUGUAGAUUUGGAUUUAUGUUUUCAUCAUGUAGCUGAGACCUAGAACGCUUUGUGUUAGGUGUCUGCAUUACAUUGUUAUUUUCUUUUACUGUUUCAUUUUUUCUUCUCUUCAUUCUGAAAAACAAAAUAGAAUUGUUAGAAAAAUAAUUCCAAUUAUGUCAUUUGUCAAUGAACAUGUUAUAUGUUGAAAGAUAUUAAAAGACUGACCUUAUAGUUGUUUCUUUGCUAAUGAGGCGAGUAGCUGUAGAUUAGGAAUGAAGGUGUAAAAUGGUUAUGUAAUGAUUAUAAAGAAAUCGUCUCAGCCUUAUUUAGUGUGAUAGCAUUAAACUGAAAAGAUUACAGAAUAUAUUUUCUUUUCCAUAUUCAUAAUAAAAUCUAAUUGAUUGAUUCUUAUUUUUAGCAUAGAAUCUUGUAUAUUAAUAGGUUAAAUAUGCCAGUUUGGUCGUGAAAACAGUUGUUAUACUACAACAAUGAACCCUUUUAAAACUGAUUUAUCUAUACUGCUAUACUAUUCCAAUUUGUUAACGAUUUAGAAUAGGAGAAAGAUUUUAAUAGCUUAAGAUCUUUAAAAUAUUUGCACAUAUGCCCUUUAAAAUAUAUGUACUUAUAUAUCUCACAUAUUAAUUAAGUUAGCCAUUUAUAGUAUAGAUAUCGUCAGAUUAGUAUAGAUUCAUCGCAGUCUCUCAAUGUUUGUUACUAAUAUGUGUUUUCUUUUAUCUGCAGUGUUAGCUACAGUUAUGGGGCUUAUAUAUGAAAAUUCAUCAAUACAAAGCACAAGUUAGUAUAUUUUCUCUUUCUGUUUUGUGAUCUUUAGUUUAAGCAUAAGUUAGUUUAUAUUUUGCAAAGAGUUUAGUAUAAGGAGAAGCUUAGAGUUUAUUGCUUGAAUUCAAAAUAACUGAGAAUUAAAUAGCACAUAGCUAAAGGAAAAAACUAAAUAAGUUUUGAAACUUGAACAAAAGAAAAAAAUAGAAAACUAAUUGCUACAGCCAAGCUCCCUACAUUAUUCCCAGCCAGCACAACUUAAUUCUUGCCACCUUCAAUCUCUUCCUUCUCAAUGUCACCAAGAAGGGAAGAGACACAUGCCUUUUUAGUAGUAGAACCCUGACCUUCAAUGUCCUCAGAAACUGCAUCCAUACUACGCUUAGAUGAAGGAGUGGAUGAUGUAGGACCUAAAGGGUCAGUGGUUUCACCACUAUUGGUCAGAGCAAGUCCUUCCUGUAAGUAAGAAAAUCAGGAUAGUCAAUAUAUAAUAGAUAAUCUUUCAUAUAACAAAGUCAUUAAAUUAUAUAGUUAUAAGUAUCCAUAAUUUAUUCCCUGACUUGAGUAUAACUGAUUGUACUCACUAUUUAAUUGAAACACGAUCCAGCCCUUUAGUGAUAAACUUGAAUAACUUUUUGAUAGAUUGAUUUUGGUUGCACCUACUAACAUUACCUGAUCAAUAGAGAGGUCAUUACGUUGGUCAGUCUGCUGGUCAGAAUCUUCAAUAGUAUCUAGAUUGUCAGAUUCAUUACCCAGCCAAACGGUUGAAACCUUGUAGGUAUCAUCAGUUUCAUUGAUGUUUUCCUUUCCAACAGUCACCAGAAACUGGAAAGUCUUUCCAACCAAAUCUCUGAUUGGCUGAGGCAAGUUUGUAGGAUCCUGAAUCUGUUAUGAUAGAUUAAAAAAAGUAUAUAAGAUAUUUGAAUAAUAUGGUCUAUAUACAUAUUAACAACAAAUUUGUUUACCUCAUCCCACUUCCCUUCCAGCAAAUCCUCUGCAGACACACCGAUUAUAUCUUGUGCACUUUUAUCAAAGAUAAGACAUUUAGUGUCUCCAGUGCUAUCCAUCACUCCAACGUUUAAAAGAUACCUACAUAUCAAAGGAACAGGAAAGUAGAUUAGGUACAUAGUUAGUAUCUGACAAAUGUAGAUAUAUAUUAGCAAAUCUCAAAGUCUUACCUUGGUAUCACCUUAGGAGUGUCUUCCUUACAUGUUGGACACCAAAACAUUUCUUUCUUGCCUUUCUUGACAAUCUCAUUUUCAACCUUUGGAAUCUUAUAGGCAGUUUUGCUACACUUGAGGCAACUAAAGAAAUACCAAGAAUAGUCUGUGUCGAUAUUCAUUAUGGUACAAAUUAUGUUGCACUUUCCAGUCUAUUCCAAAAAAAUAGAUAAUUAGUAGUAUAGACAGAGAAUUUAAUAGUUGCCAGAAAAAAUAAUAUUAUCAAAUACAAAUACCUCAGAAAAACAAAAGAGUCCAGAGAUGGUUUUCCUUGGAAAACGAUCAUAGUAAUCCUUUUUUCUCUGUUCUGCAUUCACUUGUUUUGCCUUCGAGUCUUCGAUAGUCAGUGGAAUAACAUCAGGUGGUAAACUAUUUUUAACAAAUAAAAGAAAACGAAAUCAACUUUAGAUAUUAUAAAUAGGAUUCACAGUUAUCUAUAUUAGUAAAAGAAAUGUGAUGUUUAAACAUAUCUUACUUGGCCACAAACUCGNNNNNNNNNNNNNNNNNNNNNNNNNNNNNNNNNNNNNNNNNNNNNNNNNNNNNNNNNNNNNNNNNNNNNNNNNNNNNNNNNNNNNNNNNNNNNNNNNNNNNNNNNNNNNNNNNNNNNNNNNNNNNNNNNNNNNNNNNNNNNNNNNNNNNNNNNNNNNNNNNNNNNNNNNNNNNNNNNNNNNNNNNNNNNNNNNNNNNNNNNNNNNNNNNNNNNNNNNNNNNNNNNNNNNNNNNNNNNNNNNNNNNNNNNNNNNNNNNNNNNNNNNNNNNNNNNNNNNNNNNNNNNNNNNNNNNNNNNNNNNNNNNNNNNNNNNNNNNNNNNNNNNNNNNNNNNNNNNNNNNNNNNNNNNNNNNNNNNNNNNNNNNNNNNNNNNNNNNNNNNNNNNNNNNNNNNNNNNNNNNNNNNNNNNNNNNNNNNNNNNNNNNNNNNNNNNNNNNNNNNNNNNNNNNNNNUUCCGAAGAAACCCCAAGACGGCAGGCAGCUCGUCGAAUGGUCGGUCGAUAAUACGCCAUUCUCCAGAAACUAUGAACCUUUGCAGUUUGCUCACUUGUGGCUUCUUAACAGUAGCAUGAAUCAAAGUACCCUGGCAACAGAUAAAAAGAACUCAUGUUAAUCAUCCAGUGAUAUUGAUGAUUGAUAAAUGUCUAAUAUGUUGAAAAAUGAUAGUUCUUAUACUUACAGCUGUAUCAGCAAGAACCAUUUCAACUGUUUCCCCGGUGAAUUGAGUGUAUUGUGUCCACGAAUGCACAAUCUUAACUUGAAUUUUCCAAUGUGUUUUGAAGGGCUUAAUGUCAGCAAGAGGGGUGAAUGCUUGAACAGCUGCCAUUUUCUUAGAGAAAUAGUGAAGUGGUAAUGGUAAAGCUUUGAAAGGUGAGUUCUUUCUAAUGCAGGUCCCUAUAUUUAUAGUAAUCGUAUGGAGCCUGUAGUUUUAUUAGGUUUUAGAGAAUAUAGGCCGUAUAAUAUAAUUUGGGAUUAGAAUCUUAAAGGUAUAUGCUUGAUUUAGGGAGAUUUAUUUGCAUAUAAUUUCCGAUUUACUUGUUUGGUAUAUCAAUAUAGAACUGAAUAUGGAUAUUGAAGAGAUUGUGUGAUUUUUAAUACCAACUAAUAAUGGAAAUACAAUUAGUUAGAAUUAUAUAUCUUUCAAUAUAAAGAAAUACAAAUAAUUGAGUUUUGCAUUUAAAGAGAUAUUUUUAAAUUGGCAUUGAUAGUUUGUAUUGAUAUGGAAAGAUCUUUGCGAGAUUUGUGUCUAAUUAUUAGUCAAAUUAAGUUAGAGAGUAGUAUAAUUAUCUAAUAAGUUACAAUACUGUAUCUUUCAAUAUAUUAUAGGGAGAUAUGGAUUAAUUAGUUUUGCAUUUAAUUCACCGUCUACACUAUAUAUUUUUACAUUGGCAUUAAUAGUUUGAGUUGAUAUGGUAAGAUUUUUGCGAGAUUUGAGUGCAAUUAAUCAAAAAAUUAAUUGCCAACUUAUUCCCGAUUUAGAAUAAGUAAAGAAUAUGCUUGAUUUGUUAUUAUAUGGAAUAUAAAUAAAUGCGUUUUAUUUUAGGAAGUGUAAAUUAUGUGAUUUGUUUGUUAAGGCAAUAUACAGAGUAGUGUAUUUGAUCCGGAAAAAUAGUUAUGGUAUUGUUUGAUUUGUGUGGCUAAUGUUUUUCUUCCGUAUUAAUUACUGCAGAUUCAAUACAUUAAAGCAUUGGUUUCAGUAUGGGCCUAAUAAAUGUCGUAAGCCCAACAGGAAGCUUCAUCUGUUCGGGUCUGUGAUUUUUAGGAAAGAGGAUCCGAUUGCUUGAUCCGGGAUCCGCGUCCCAAAAGCAAGAAUUUUACAAUUUUACCCCUCCACCCAAUUGUAAUGGCAUUCUCUUGUAAUUAUUUACAGAUUGUAAGGUUAUUUUUCAGGUAAUCCUUCCCAAUUAAUAGUAUAGAUGAUGCCUUUUUAAAUCCCUUAAAAAAAAUUAUUUACCUAAAUAUAUAGAUUUGGGGAAAAAUACAUUUUUAACCUUCAAAGUGUUACUGGAUAACACUUUAAACCUCGAAAGAAUUUUACAAGCACUAUAAACCACCAAAAUAAUUUUACUAACACUUUAAACCUCCAAACUAGUUUUUUUGUUUGUCCCACCAUAAAAAAAUGAUGGAAAAAUUAAUUUCUAUUUGUUUAUUAUACAUGUAUUUAAUUUAAUUUAAAUUUAAAUUAAUUUUAUUAUUUAUUACAAUUAAUAAAAAUAUAUAAAACUUUAAUUUAAAUUUACAUUAAUUUGAUUAUUUGUUACAACUAAUAAAAAUCUUUAAAAAACAUUAAUUUUUUUUUUUACUUUCUUUGUUUACUCACCGUUCGAUCAUGAAAUUUCGAAAUUAAACCUCUGAAACUUUAGAUUUAAGCACAAGAGAAGUUUAUAGUAUAAUAAUAUAUACCAAAUAAUGUAGAAUAUGAGGUAUAAGAGAACCUUGAAUAGAAUAAUAAAAACUAAAGAAUGUCAAAAUUUUGUGAGAAAACAAAACAUUCUCCGUAUCGGAAAUAUCUAAUUUUUUUUUACGUUUCUUAAUAAUCGAAAAAUCAUAAUAAAUAAUAAAAUUAAUUAAAAUUAAAAUUAAAUUAAAUAAAUUUAUAUUAAACCAACAUAAAUUAGUUGUUCUAACAUAAAUUUAUGGCGGUGCAAACAUGAAAACUAGUUUGGAGGUUUAAAGUGUUAGUAAAUUUAUUUUUGUGGUUUAUAGUGUUAGUGGAAAUCUCUCGAGGUUUAAAGUGCUACCCAGCGACACUUUAAGGGUUAAAAAUGUGAUUUUCCCUAUAGAUUAGUGUGCACAUUAGUUAAUUUUGUGUCUAUCUAAAUUCGUGUUCUUUUAGUUGAAAGACAUAUCUAAGGAAAACUUGAUAAUCCCAUUAGAGGAAAAAAAAAAACUAAAAGAGCUUUCAAAUUAUUUUUACUAAACUGAAUUUUUUAGCAUUUGUUACUUGUAAUGAAAUCUAUAGACAAUUAUCCACAUAAAUACAUAAUUCCAUAUCAUUUGAGGAAAUAUUGGGCUUUAAAAAUAUUUGGUGAUUCUCACAGAGAAUACUAAAUUCAAAAGGGAAUUUCACUUCCGUCACUUCGCAGUGCCUCUAGAAGCUUUCUUCUUCGAAUACAAUUGCGACGGUGACACCUUCAACUACCUCGUCGAAAAUGGCUUCAGUGAGUCUCCCUUCUCAAUCGGAACACGUUCUCUUUAUGCUUGGAUUCGCGUAAAUAUGAGUUUUAGAUUUCGCUCUCUUGAAGGCGUACUUUCGAUCUAUUUGGUAGACGUAGAUGUAUAUUUGUGUUCGUGUUGCAAUCGAUUUCAAUGGAUCUAUCUGCUCAUUUUCUAUCGGUACCAGUGAUAUUCAUGUGUAUAUAUAUAUGACUUCGUUUUGCUUCUGUUAAGGUUUCC